rnacentral:rRNA from 1 species
AGAGUUUGAUCCUGGCUCAGAACGAACGCUGGCGGCGUGCUUAACACAUGCAAGUCGAACGUGAUCCGGAGCUUGCUCCGGUGAAAGUGGCGCACGGGUGAGUAACGCGUGGAUAAUCUGCCCUGGUAUCUGGGAUAACAUCUCGAAAGGGGUGCUAAUACCGGAUAAGCCUACGGACUCUUCGGAGUCUGCAGGAAAAGGUGGCCUCUAUUUAUAAGCUACCGUAUCAGGAUGAGUCCGCGUACCAUUAGCUAGUUGGUGGGGUAAUGGCCCACCAAGGCUACGAUGGUUAGCUGGUCUGAGAGGAUGAUCAGCCACACUGGAACUGAGACACGGUCCAGACUCCUACGGGAGGCAGCAGUGGGGAAUUUUGCGCAAUGGGGGAAACCCUGACGCAGCAACGCCGCGUGAGUGAUGAAGGCUUUCGGGUCGUAAAGCUCUGUCAGAGGGGAAGAAAUGAGUCUGGCUAAUAUCCAGAUU